rnacentral:rRNA from 1 species
GUUUGAUCCUGGCUCAGGACGAACGCUGGCGGCGUGCCUAAUACAUGCAAGUCGAGCGCGUGAAUCAACAUGAUCCCUUCGGGGUGAUUGUUGUGGAUCGAGCGGCGGACGGGUGAGUAACACGUGGGCAACCUACCCAUGAGAUCGGGAUAACUCCGGGAAACCGGAGCUAAUACCGAAUAACCCAGUGAACUGCAUGGUUCACUGGUAAAAGGCGGUUUCGGCCGUCACUCAUGGAUGGGCCCGCGGCGCAUUAGCUAGUUGGUAAGGUAACGGCUUACCAAGGCAACGAUGCGUAGCCGACCUGAGAGGGUGAUCGGCCACACUGGGACUGAGACACGGCCCAGACUCCUACGGGAGGCAGCAGUAGGGAAUCUUCCGCAAUGGACGAAAGUCUGACGGAGCAACGCCGCGUGAACGAUGAAGGUCUUCGGAUCGUAAAGUUCUGUUGUUGGGGAAGAACAAGUACCAGAGGAAAUGC